rnacentral:lncRNA from 1 species
CUUAUUUCCAGUGGCUGCUUUCCUCUGGUCCUCUUCCUCUGCUGCAUCACACCACCCCUCAACAAACAUCCCUUCCUUCCCCGUGCUUCCACGUAAACUUUUCUCCCUCUCUUCUCUGUCCCAGGUGUCUUCAGAGCUUCUGACAUUAACGGUUGCAAGGAAGGAGAAGACCUAGGGUUCAAUUCUUUGCCAUGAAUCGAAUAUGGCCCUCACGCCUGUGUCAAACAUGUGAAGGGCACUGAGGGUACCAUGGUGAGAGAAAGCCCCUGCCCCCAGAAAUGCACACAUGGUGGGUGGAGGUGGAGAAUGUCAGAGCCACUUAUGAUGGCCUGGCAUGGCAGGGCUGCAGAGGGGUGCACGCUGGGGAGGCGGGGGCUGGAGUGUGCUCCACAUGGCCUGGCACUGUGGCCCUCUUGACCUCACUUCUUUGUCCUCUCUGCAGCUUCAUCCCUAGGCUACCUCUCUUGGGCUAGUGUUUGCCAAACUUCAGUCACUUGGGAAUCAAUCGUUUUCUGUGUGACUACAUUACUGAAUACUUCCAAAUUUUCUUUAAAAAUUUUUUUUUUUUAGAGACAGGUUGUUGCUUUGUCACCCAGGCUCUGUGUAACCCAUGCUCUGAACAACUGUGCAACCAAAUCCUAUUUCCUUAUGCUUUUUCCCGAGUCUUUCUAGCAACUCUCUUAAUCACCCCAGUUUCCUGAGUAUCCGCUACAUUAGCUAGGAUUAGAUAUGAUUGAAAUUACAGAAAGUUUCAAAGUAACUGUGGUUUUCAAAAGGCAGAGAUCUCGGCUCACUGCAAGCUCCACCUCCCGGGUUCACGCCAUUCUCCUGCCUCAGCCUCCCUCAGAAGUGUAUUUUUUUCAUGUAGAGAAGGUCUAGAUGGGGAGUCUAGGGCUGCCAGGGUGGUUCCAUGGACAUCAGAGCAGAGUACAUUCAUAGGGGCCUUGGCCUCAUGA